rnacentral:rRNA from 1 species
UACGUAGGGGGCGAGCGUUGUCCGGAUUUAUUGGGCGUAAAGAGCUCGUAGGCGGUUCGAUAAGUCGGAUGUGAAAUCUCCACGCUCAACGUGGAGGGGCCAUUCGAUACUGUCGUGACUCGAGUCCGGUAGGGGAGUGUGGAAUUCCCGGUGUAGCGGUGAAAUGCGCAGAUAUCAGGAGGAACACCAAUUGCGAAGGCAGCUCGCUGGGACGUAACUGACGCUGAGACGCGAAAGCGUGGGGAGCAAACAGG